rnacentral:rRNA from 1 species
AGCGAACGCUGGCGGCAGGCCUAACACAUGCAAGUCGAACGGACCCUUCGGGGUUAGUGGCGGACGGGUGAGUAACACGUGGGAACGUGCCUUUAGGUUCGGAAUAGCUCCUGGAAACGGGUGGUAAUGCCGAAUGUGCCCUUCGGGGGAAAGAUUUAUCGCCUUUAGAGCGGCCCGCGUCUGAUUAGCUAGUUGGUGAGGUAAUGGCUCACCAAGGCGACGAUCAGUAGCUGGUCUGAGAGGAUGACCAGCCACAUUGGGACUGAGACACGGCCCAAACUCCUACGGGAGGCAGCAGUGGGGAAUCUUGCGCAAUGGGCGAAAGCCUGACGCAGCCAUGCCGCGUGGAUGAUGAAGGUCUUAGGAUUGUAAAAUCCUUUCACCGGUGAAGAUAAUGACUGUAGCCGGAGAAGAAGCCCCGGCUAACUUCGUGCCAGCCGCCGCCGUAA